CUAAUACAUGCAAGUCGAGCGGACAGAUGGGAGCUUGCUCCCUGAUGUUAGCGGCGGACGGGUGAGUAACACGUGGGUAACCUGCCUGUAAGACUGGGAUAACUCCGGGAAACCGGGGCUAAUACCGGAUGCUUGUUUGAACCGCAUGGUUCAAACAUAAAAGGUGGCUUCGGCUACCACUUACAGAUGGACCCGCGGCGCAUUAGCUAGUUGGUGAGGUAAUGGCUCACCAAGGCAACGAUGCGUAGCCGACCUGAGAGGGUGAUCGGCCACACUGGGACUGAGACACGGCCCAGACUCCUACGGGAGGCAGCAGUAGGGAAUCUUCCGCAAUGGACGAAAGUCUGACGGAGCAACGCCGCGUGAGUGAUGAAGGUUUUCGGAUCGUAAAGCUCUGUUGUUAGGGAAGAACAAGUACCGUUCGAAUAGGGCGGUACCUUGACGGUACCUAACCAGAAAGCCACGGCUAACUACGUGCCAGCAGCCGCGGUAAUACGUAGGUGGCAAGCGUUGUCCGGAAUUAUUGGGCGUAAAGGGCUCGCAGGCGGUUCCUUAAGUCUGAUGUGAAAGCCCCCGGCUCAACCGGGGAGGGUCAUUGGAAACUGGGGAACUUGAGUGCAGAAGAGGAGAGUGGAAUUCCACGUGUAGCGGUGAAAUGCGUAGAGAUGUGGAGGAACACCAGUGGCGAAGGCGACUCUCUGGUCUGUAACUGACGCUGAGGAGCGAAAGCGUGGGGAGCGAACAGGAUUAGAUACCC
rnacentral:rRNA from 1 species